AUUGAACGCUGGCGGCAUGCUUUACACAUGCAAGUCGAACGGCAGCACGGGCUUCGGCCUGGUGGCGAGUGGCGAACGGGUGAGUGAUACAUCGGAACGUACCCAGUAGUGGGGGAUAGCCCGGCGAAAGCCGGAUUAAUACCGCAUAUGCCCUGAGGGGGAAAGCGGGGGACCGAAAGGCCUCGCGCUAUUGGAGCGGCCGAUGGCUGAUUAGCUAGUUGGUGGGGUAAAGGCCUACCAAGGCGACGAUCAGUAGCUGGUCUGAGAGGACGACCAGCCACACUGGGACUGAGACACGGCCCAGACUCCUACGGGAGGCAGCAGUGGGGAAUUUUGGACAAUGGGCGAAAGCCUGAUCCAGCAAUGCCGCGUGUGCGAAGAAGGCCUUCGGGUUGUAAAGCACUUUUGUUUGGAAAGAAAAGGUUUGGGUUAAUACCCUGGACUGAUGACGGUACCAAUCGAAUAAGCACCGGCUAACUACGUGCCAGCCGCCGCCGUAA
rnacentral:rRNA from 1 species